rnacentral:miRNA from 1 species
ACAUGAAUCACUUGGAGAUUUUAUUAAAAUGCAGAUUCUGAGUCAGCCAGUCAGGACAGCGCCUCUGACCCUGCUUUGCUAACAAGCUCCCAGGUGAUGUUGAC